AUUGAACGCUGGCGGAAUGCUUUACACAUGCAAGUCGAACGGCAGCACGGACUUCGGUCUGGUGGCGAGUGGCGAACGGGUGAGUAAUGUAUCGGAACGUGCCCAGUCGUGGGGGAUAACGUAGUGAAAAUUACGCUAAUACCGCAUACGAUCUAUGGAUGAAAGCGGGGGAUCGCAAGACCUCGCGCGAUUGGAGCGGCCGAUAUCAGAUUAGGUAGUUGGUGGGGUAAAGGCCCACCAAGCCAACGAUCUGUAGCUGGUCUGAGAGGACGACCAGCCACACUGGAACUGAGACACGGUCCAGACUCCUACGAGAGGCAGCAGUGGGGAAUUUUGGACAAUGGGCGAAAGCCUGAUCCAGCCAUUCCGCGUGCAGGAUGAAGGCCCUCGGGUUGUAAACUGCUUUUGUACAGAACGAAAAGGUUUCUACUAAUACUAGGCGCUCAUGACGGUACUGUAAGAAUAAGCACCGGCUAACUACGUGCCAGCAGCCGCCGUAA
rnacentral:rRNA from 1 species